AUGUGGCUAGGUUUCAGGCACGGUGGCACCUCCAUCGUAGGCGCGGCUCUGGCAACCCGGGGGCUCCUCCCCGACUCUUACCUCGCCCCCGCAUUCAACAAAGCCCCUUGGAUGGUGCUCCUCUCCCCGGUAGCCAUAGGGUGCUCGAGCUCCUCCUCCACACGCGCCAGGUGUUCUUCCUCGACCCGGACAGUGAGGGAUUCCUUCUGGGCAUAUACGACGACACUGACAAGAUGGCACUUGCUUGUCACCUUCUGCAUGCUUCACACAGCGCAGCGCCUGCACUUCUUUGAGCCAAAGCCAAUCGACGCGCAGAUUGUCAUCUCAUUUGGGUUUCUCAAUGGGAUCUCCAUUGGCCUCCACAACCUUUGCCUUGGCUUCUACCAGAUGACCAAGCUGGCUAUUAUACCGUUCACCAUGCUCUUGGAGACCAUCUUUCUGAGCAAGAAGUUCAGGUUGAUGUGUGCCGCUCAGAUGGAACCUUCGCCAGGGCCGCUAUUCCCAGCGGUGCAUCAACAAGUUCUGGAUGUCGCUGGGUUUAUUAAGCUGUUACUUGCCACUGUUCAAUUUUUUGAAAGAACAAUGUUGUAUUGA
rnacentral:rRNA from 1 species